AUACGUAGGGGGCAAGCGUUGUCCGGAUUUAUUGGGCGUAAAGCGCGUGUAGGCGGCCACGCAGGUCCGCUGUGAAAACUCGAGGCUCAACCUCGAGCUGUCGGUGGAAACCGCGUGGCUAGAGUCCGGAAGAGGAGACUGGAAUUCCCGGUGUAGCGGUGGAAUGCGCAGAUAUCGGGAGGAACACCCGUGGCGAAGGCGGGUCUCUGGGACGGUACUGACGCUGAGACGCGAAAGCGUGGGGAGCGAACAGGA
rnacentral:rRNA from 1 species